GGCUUGGUAGUGUAACGGUAUCGUGCCGCUAAUCUGUACGUGGAUCAGAUUUCUCAUGGCGGAGGUUCCCCGUUCGAGUCGGGGCCAGGCUA